UACAGAGGGGGCAAGCGUUGUUCGGAAUUACUGGGCGUAAAGCGCGCGUAGGUGGUUUGUUAAGUUGAAUGUGAAAUCCCCGGGCUCAACCUGGGAACUGCAUGCAAAACUGGCAAGCUAGAGUAUGGUAGAGGGUGGUGGAAUUUCCUGUGUAGCGGUGAAAUGCGUAGAUAUAGGAAGGAACACCAGUGGCGAAGGCGACCACCUGGACUGAUACUGACACUGAGGUGCGAAAGCGUGGGGAGCAAACAGG
rnacentral:rRNA from 1 species